AUUGAACGCUGGCGGCAGGCCUAACACAUGCAAGUCGAGCGAGCGGCGGACGGGUGAGUAAUGUCUGGGAAACUGCCUGAUGGAGGGGGAUAACUACUGGAAACGGUAGCUAAUACCGCAUACCAUAAGAUGUGCCCAGAUGGGAUUAGCUAGUAGGUGGGGUAACGGCUCACCUAGGCGACGCUCCCUAGCUGGGCUGAGAGGAGGACCAGCCACAUUGGAAGUGGGACACGGUCCAGACUCCUACGGGAGGCCGCAGUGGGGAAUAUUGGCAAUUGGGCGAAAGCCGACUGCAGCCCGGCGGCGGGUGUGAAGAGGUCUUUGGGGUUGAAAACCACGUUCAUCGGGGAGGCGUUUCUCACAGAAGAAGCACCGGCUAAUUCCGGGCCAGCAGCCGCGGUAAUU
rnacentral:rRNA from 1 species